UACGAAGGGGGCUAGCGUUGUUCGGAAUCACUGGGCGUAAAGCGCACGCAGGCGGAUCGUUAAGUCAGGGGUGAAAUCCCGAGGCUCAACCUCGGAACUGCCUUUGAUACUGGCGAUCUUUGAGUCCGGGAGAGGUGAGUGGAACUCCGAGUGUAGAGGUGAAAUUCGUAGAUAUUCGGAAGAACACCAGUGGCGAAGGCGGCUCACUGGCCCGGUACUGACGCUCAUGUGCGAAAGCGUGGGGAGCGAACAGG
rnacentral:rRNA from 1 species